rnacentral:lncRNA from 1 species
CAUCGAUGUGCUUGCCCCAGUAAAAAUGCUCUCGAGCAACUCCUGUUGGACGUUCUGUCGACGUUGCUUAGUUCCUUUGAUUUCUAAAUACUUUCUUUAUAAAAUUGAGUCAACGUUUUAGACCCUCUUUGUUGAAUUCCCUGUAUUAAUUACGCUUUAUUCCUUCAAGAAUCAAUCUGUAAGUAAAAUUGACUGCAACAUGUCUCUUAAAUUUCAAUGUUUCAUCUUUUACAUGUUACUUGAGAUGAAUGUAAGCAUUUCAAAAAAUCAUAAGUUAAACGUGAGCAGUGAAAAAAAUGAUGGUGGACGAUUGCUUUUGCUUGCUAUCAAAGUUUGUCACAACACAAUCCAACUUUCCGAUCAAAAAUUCCUUCACAUAGCCAAUUUCAACUCUCAUGGAACUGUGCCUAUUUUGAUCCAAACUUUACACGAUUCCUCCAUCCAAACCGUAUUGACUACACAUUACUGCGAGCUGAUGGGCUGGAGCGAGAAAAAUCAGAUUAAAAAUAUGAUUUUUUUCCUCGAUGAUAUCGAGGAAAUCACCAGUCUGAUUUUAAGUUCGGUUUCGAGGGAAGGAAAUAAUUGUGGAGAAAGCUUCAACUUUGAUAAAAAUAAAAUCUCACUAGUCCAUAACGAAUCGAUUUCUGCAGUCGAUCGUCCUCAUAAGGCUGAGAGUCGUAAAAUAAAUGAACUACCACGAUACUGCAUUACAGUCGACGAAUAUAUGCCUUCGAUGGAGGGUGGAAAAUGUGACGAACAAAUGUUUCUUUCCUCAGCAGAACUGAACGGCUCCGUGGACCUAUCUGAUUUGAAUUUUGACUUGACCCGCGGCCUGUACACGAACCCAAUUUGGAACUCGAACAAUUACUUGAUUUUCAUGCUCAGCGAGUUCGGCCGCGGUACUUGCAACUCAAAUACCUCCGUCCAUCCUCAGGAAUGGGUUUGCGAUUUCGACCAAGAGAGGAAAACUUCUGCGAAUGAUUACGAUGCGCUGGUUUUUUGCUUUAAGUUUUUCUGGCGGUUCUUCCGCGGCUUGAAAACGAUAAUCUGCCACGAGGGAGGGUGCAGUAGAUACGACUCUUUCGCCGAAAAUAUUGUCCAGUACAAUGGGGAAGGCGACGAAACUUACUUCGACUUCUCCGUGACCAACAUGCAUAAGAAAGAAUUGGCAGUAAUCGUAAGCGAUUACCACGGUAAUGUCGUGACCGAAAGUCAUCGUGGCCCAUUCAAAUUUCUG